CCUACGGGAGGCAGCAGUGGGGGAUAUUGCACAAUGGGGGGAACCCUGAUGCAGCGACGCCGCGUGGGUGAAGAAGCGCUUCGGCGCGUAAAGCCCUGUCAGCAGGGAAGAAAAUGACGGUACCUGAAGAAGAAGCCCCGGCUAACUACGUGCCAGCAGCCGCGGUAAUACGUAGGGGGCAAGCGUUAUCCGGAUUUACUGGGUGUAAAGGGGGCGCAGACGGCGAUGCAAGCCAGGAGUGAAAGCCCGGGGGCCAACCCCGGGACUGCUCUUGGAACUGCGUGGCUGGAGUGCAGGAGGGGCAGGCGGAAUUCCUGGUGUAGCGGUGAAAUGCGUAGAUAUCAGGAGGAACACCGGUGGCGAAGGCGGCCUGCUGGACUGCAACUGACGUUGAGGCCCGAAAGCGUGGGGAGCAAACAGGAUUAGAUACCCCUGUAGUC
rnacentral:rRNA from 1 species